rnacentral:rRNA from 1 species
GAGCGAAUGAAGGGGAUUUGCUCCUUUUACGUUAGCGGCGGACGGGUGAUGAAUCGUGGCUGCCUACCUUAUAGGUUGGGAUAACUCCGGGAAACCGGGGCUAAUACCGAAUAAUCUAUUUUACUUCAUGGAGAAAUACUGAAAGACGGUUUCGGUUGUCCUUAUAAGAUGGGCCCGCGGGGCGUUAUCUAGUUGCUGAGGUAACGGCUCACCAAGGUGACCAUGCAUAACCGACCUGAGAGGGUGAUCUGCCACACUGGGACUGAGACUCGGCCCAGACUCCUACGGGAGGCAGCAACAGGGAAUCUUCCACAAUGGGCGAAAUGCUGAUGGAGCAACGCCGGGUGAGUGAAUAAGGUUUUCUGAUCGUAAAACUCUGUGGUAAGGGAAGAACAAGUACAUGUUUAACUGGUUGCACCUUGACGGUACCUUAUUAAAAAGCCACGGCUAACUACGUGCCAACAGCCGCGGCAAUACGUAGGUGGAAAGCGUGGUCCGGAAUUAUUGGGCGUAAAGCGCGCGCAGGCGGUCCUUUAAGUCUGAUGUGAAACCCCACGGCUCAACCGUGGAUGGUCAUUGGAAACUGGGGGACUUGAGUGCAGAAUAGGAAAGUGGAAUUCCAAGUGUAGCGGUGAAAUGCGUACACAUUUGGAGGAACACCACUGGCGAAAGCGACUUUCUGGUCUGUAACUGACGCUGAGGCGCGAAAGCGUGAGGAGCAAACAGGAUUAUAUACCCUGGUACUCCACGCCGUUAACGAUGAGUGCUAUGUGUUAUGGGGUUUCCGCCCCUUAGUGUUGCAUCUAACGCCUGAAGGACUCCGCCUGGG